AACGAACGCUGGCGGCGUGCCUAACACAUGCAAGUCGUACGUGAAAGUCUUCGGAUGAGUAAAGUGGCGCACGGGUGAGUAACACGUAGGUGACCUGCCUUUUAGAGGGGAAUAACCAGAAGAAAUUUUGGCUAAUGCCGCAUACGAAGAGCAAAACUAAGAGUAGCUCUUGAAAGAAUGCCUCUGCAUAUGCAUUCACUAAAAGAUGGGCCUGCGGAACAUUAGCUAGUUGGUGGGGUAAAGGCCUACCAAGGCAACGAUGUUUAUCCGGUCUGAGAGGAUGAUCGGACACACUGGAACUGAGACACGGCCCAGACUCCUACGGGAGGCAGCAGUGGGGAAUUUUGGACAAUGGGGGCAACCCUGAUCCAGCAAUGUCGCGUGAGUGAAGAAGGCCUUCGGGUUGUAAAGCUCUUUUGUUUGGGAAGAAAUCCCUAAGGAUAAUACCCUUGGGGGAUGACGGUACCAAAAGAAUAAGCACCGGCUAACUACGUGCCAGCAGCCGCGGUAAUACGUAGGGUGCAAGCGUUAAUCGGAAUUACUGGGCGUAAAGCGUGCGC
rnacentral:rRNA from 1 species